rnacentral:lncRNA from 1 species
GCCCCGAAUAAAAGACCUUUCGGGACUUCGCGUUGCGAAAGUGCGCGGUGCUCGGAGCCUCUGCCCAGGGAUGGUGUACUGCUGAAGGCAUAAAAUAAAACUGAAAUUAAAAAAAAAAAAAAAGGAUAGUAAAAAUACAUAUGUUUCCAAACUCUAACAUCUCGAAAUAACGUUAACCGCUUCCCAUCCAAAUCACAGCUCCCAACAUCCAAAAGGUGCCCGGUUCCCCUUCACCACCACCGCACACCGCAGGCCGAACCCCGUCGGGCUGCCCCGAGCCCUCCGCCCCCGCCGCACGCAAAGCGGAGCCGCCCCGGGCUCACAGCGGCUCCGGGAGGGCACCGCGACGCUCCCGACUCCGCGGCUGCAGCGGGGGCAGAGCGGCGUGCGGGAUCCCUGGCGCAGAAAUCCCAACGAAGCCAAUGGGAGCCUGGACGUGGCUCUUUCUUCGUAUUGGGGACAACGUAAUAAAGAUCGGAGCCGCUCAUUUUACAUUAAGAUUAAUUCACUAUCACAAAGAUCACAAAGAACGCAAAGAUCACGAAGAUCACAAAGAUCGCCAAGAUCGCUAAGAUCACAAAGCAGUUGCGUUUUUCUCAGUGAAAUCAAAAUGCCUUCGGACUGCACCAGGGGCUGUCAUUGCGGCUUUCGUGCCCUCCCGUUCCAGGUUGAGCUGUUGGGCUGCACAGGACCAAGCGCAGAGCGGUGCCUGGGGCAGGGCAGAGCUCCCCACGCCUGCAUUUCCAAGAACACAAAUCCUGGCAGUUUUUAUACUUAAGUACAUGCAAGUAAUUAAAAAAAAAAAAAAAAAAAAAAAAAAAAAGCUUGAUACAAUGCUGGAACCUCUCCAAAAAGAUCAGGCAUCUGAACUGAACUAAACAAUUCGAGGCAGCCCAUUUGUAUUUGUGCUGGUUUUAUGUCAGAGGAGCCACGACAAAUUUGUACUGGCGCAAGAUAUGUUGGAACAAGCUAAAUAGGUGCUAAAGUCGUGGCUAUGCAAAG